GACGAACGCUGGCGGCGUGCCUAAUACAUGCAAGUCGAACGCAUUUUCUUUCACCGUAGCUUGCUACACCGACAGAAAAUGAGUGGCGAACGGGUGAGUAACACGUGGGUAACCUGCCCAUCAGCGGGGGAUAACACUUGGAAACAGGUGCUAAUACCGCAUAAUUCCAUUUACUGCAUGGUAGAUGGAUGAAAGGCGCUUUUGCGUCACUGAUGGAUGGACCCGCGGUGCAUUAGCUAGUUGGUGGGGUAACGGCCUACCAAGGCUGCGAUGCAUAGCCGACCUGAGAGGGUGAUCGGCCACACUGGGACUGAGACACGGCCCAGACUCCUACGGGAGGCAGCAGUAGGGAAGCUUCGGCAAUGGACGCAAGUCUGACCGAGCAACGCCGCGUGAGUGAAGAAGGUUUUCGGAUCGUAAAACUCUGUUGUUAGAAAAGAACAAGGAUGAGAGUGGAAAGUUCAUCCCUUGACGGUAUCUAACCAGAAAGCCACGGCUAACUACGUG
rnacentral:rRNA from 1 species